UCGUGCCCUUCCUCCUCCCGUUCCCGAACCCUCCCCCCAUUCCCCGUUCCCCAAUCCCCACGCCUCGCCGCGCCGCUUCCCGCCCAAAUCCGCCCGAUCCCGGCCGCCGGAACCCUAGCCCGCGUCGCCAUGAAGAUCUCCGAGCUCUCCCCGGAGUACCACCGCCCGCCGCCGCACGCCGCCCACCUCACCGACCUCGCGCGGGUCGUCGCGGACGUCGAGCGGUACGACGCCCCCGACCCCUCCCCCCCGGAGAAGCUCGCCGCCGACUUCCGCCGCGUGCUCACCAACCUCGGCUCCGCCGCCUCGUCCCUCACCGACCCCUGCAGGCUCCAGAUAUGGAAGCUCGCCACCCGCCUCUGGAACGCCGUCGUCGACCGCGCCAACUCCGCCGCGCUGGCCCGGGGCCCCUCCGCGCGCGCCGCCGAGGCGGAGAUCAGGCAGGCCGCGCCGGAGCUCCUCCUCCUCGCCGGCUGCCCCGACGAGGUCCCCCUCGCCGCCGCCAAGGCCGCCUCCUUCUUCCUCCGCGCCGGCCAGGAGUGGCUCGGCCUCGGCCGCGUCGACCUCGCCACCGCCUGCUUCGAGAAGGCCACGCCGCUCGUCUCCGCCCCCGCCGCGGAGGAGGAGCGGGACGUCCUGCUCGGCCUCAACCUCGCGCGGGCGCGCGCCGCGUCCGACGCGGGCGAUCAGUCCCUCGCCGUCGCGCUGCUCGGUCGCUCCAAGCCCCUCGCGUCCGCCUCCCCCAAGGGGACCAGAUCCCUCGCCGAGGGCUACCUGUCCGUCGGCGAGGCCGCGCUAUCCACCAAACCCUCUGACCCCGCCGUUGGAGCGUCCAGCCUCAUCACCGAGGCGCUAGAUCUCUUCGAGAAGCUGGCCUCCCCCUGCCCCUCCAGCGCCAGUCCCAAGACCCCAAAUCUCCAGCAGCAAAAGGGUCGAUGCCUCCGCUACCUUGCCCUGGAGCGUCUCGAAGCCAAGGACCACGAGGGCGUCCUGCGUUGUGUCCAGGUCUCGAGGGCUUCAGUGGGGCAGGCGGACGAGCACCCGAGCAUGGGGUUCAUGGCCCUGCACGCGUGGCUUGGCACCGGGAACUUGGCGGAGGCCGAGAGGGAGCUCGAGAGAAUCAUGGCCAACGCCAACGCACCAGAGAAUGUAUGCGUGGGGGCAGCUGAGGUGUACCUUGCCUCUGCGGGGCCUGAGGCUGCACGCAAGGUGCUCGUUGCGCUUGCUGCACGUUGCCGCGCAGGAGGUGCAGCUGCUGCUGUGAGAGUGGUGACCACGGUGGUUGAUGGUGGUAUCGGUAGCCCUGGGCGCGCAAGAGCGAUCGGUGAGCUCGUGUCGGAUGAGAGGGUGGUCGCCCUGUUCGAUGGCCCGGCUAACACCAGUCACCGUGGAGCAAUGCAUACACUGCUCUGGAACUGCGGGUUUGAGCAUUUCAAUGCAAAGAACUACGAUACAUGUGCGGACUUGUUUGAGACAUCGAUGCUUUAUCUAUCCCGUGAAGAGGGAAGCAGAGCCCGGCGAGCACAAUGCCUCCGAGUCCUUGCCGUUUGCUAUCUAGCCCUUCAACGUCUGGAUCGAGCACAUGAGUUUGUCAAUGAGGCUGACAAGGUGGAACACAAUGCCCAUUGUGCCUUUAUGAAGAUCAAAAUUCAUCUUCAGAAGAACGACGAGGACGAGGCUAUCAAGCAGAUAAAAACCAUGAUGGGUUGCAUUGACUUCAAUCCCACAUUCCUAAUGCUCACAACUCAUGAGGCUAUUGCCUGCAAGGCUGUCCGGGUAGCAGUUGCUUCAUUGACCUUCCUUCUUGGUCUCUAUUCUGCCGGAAAGCCUAUGCCAGAGCGUGAGGUUACUGUCCUCCGCACUCUUAUUGAGCUCCUCCGUCGUGAGCAAGGUACUGAGGAUGAGAUCCUGAAGUACUCGAGACGUGCCAAGCUACGGAUGUCUGACCUUGGCGCGGAAGGCUUCUUUGGCAAUGGACCUGGUGGGGCGCGUGAACUGAACUGGUUUGCCAGCAAUAGCUGGAAUAUGGGUAGAAAGGUGGCAAAGGAGCAGAAGUAUGAUCUUAGUGCUGAGUUCUUUGAGCUUGCAGCAGAGUUCUUUGGUGCUGCAAGUAAUGAUGAGGGUGAUGGAAAUCGCCCCACACUUUGCAAAGCGUUAAUCAUGAGUGUCACUUCCAUGCUUGAAGCUGAGGAGCUAAACAAUUCUCCCUUGUCGGAUUGUGAUGUUAAAAAAGGUGUUGACAUGCUCAGCAGAGCUGGCAAGCUAUUACCUUCAAUCUGGCCCUCGGGUUCAGUUGCCUCUGAUCAGGCUGAGGCCAAUGACUUUCUGUUUCUUCAUACCUUCUACUCCUACCAACUCCUUGACAGGAUGGACACCAGCGCACAUCCUCAGCAGCUCCAGCUAGUCAAGAAUUUCGCUUCCUCUAAAGCAUGCACGCCGUCCCAUCUUCUCAAACUUGGAAAAACUGCUUCUGAAGGCACCCCACCAAACCUGCUGGUUGCUGAAUUUUCCCUGAAGGCUAGCAUCAAGACCGCCCUUGCUUCUCACUCCCCAAACUACAGGGUAAUCAGUGCUGCCCUCAGGAACCUAGCCUGCCUUGCUGGCUUGCAAGACUUAAGUGGUAGCAAGAGUGAUGCAGUGUAUGAUGUAUAUCGACAAGCCUACCAGAUCUUGGUUGGACUGAGAGAUGGUGAAUAUCCAUGUGAGGAAGGGCAGUGGCUUGCAGUGACUGCUUGGAACAAGUCAUAUUUGGCUAGGCGGCUUAAUCAAGCUUCAGUUGGUAUAAAAUGGAUGAAGAUGGGAUUAGAUCUCUCUCGGCAUGUUGAGAGCAUGAAGCAGUAUACAGCAGACAUGGAGCAAUGCCUUGAGUACUUCCAGAAAUUGUUUCAUAGUGAAGCUGGUGAACAUGCUUUGCUCGGGAAAAACCCUGAUGAAUGUAGUCAGCAAGAGGGGGCACCAAGCACAAUUAUACUAUAGAUGGCAUUACCAUUCAAACUAUUCUAGUUGAAAAUUGGAGAGGGGCAGAAAUACAUAAAGAGGGGACCAGGUUCAUAUGGUGCUGUACGACCAUCGCCAGCUAAUGGUGCAGCAGCUACCCCUCUCUGAUUCAGCAAACACCUGAAGCGUGACAGUCUUGAUGUGGCUGACCUGGUGUCUUCAGCAAUCUGCUCAAGUGGACU